rnacentral:rRNA from 1 species
UGAGGAAUAUUGGGCAAUGGGCGAAAGCCUGACCCAGCAACGCCGCGUGGAGGAUGAAGGUUUUUGGAUUGUAAACUCCUUUUGUGGGGGAAGAGUGAGGACGGUACCCCAAGAAUAAGUCACGGCUAACUACGUG